AUUGAACGCUGCGGCAGGCUUAACACAUGCAAGUCGAGCGAGCGGCGGACGGGGGAGUAAUGCUUAGGAAUCUGCCUAUUAGUGGGGGACAACAUCUCGAAAGGGAUGCUAAUACCGCAUACUAAUAGAUGAGACUAAGUCGGAUUAGCUAGUUGGGGGGGAAAAGGCCUACCAGGGCGACGAUCUGUAGCGGGUCGUAGAGGAGGAUCCGCCACCCUGGGCCUGAGACCCGGCCCAGCCUCCUACGGAAGGCGGCAGGGGGGAAUAUUGGAAAAUGGGGGGAACCCUGAUCCAGCCAGGCCGCGUGGGUGAAGAAGGCCUUCGGGUUGUAAGGCACUUUCAGCGGGGAGGCGUUACCCGCAGAAGAAGCACCGGCUAACUCCGUGCCAGCCGCCGCGGUAAUAC
rnacentral:rRNA from 1 species